AGAGUUUGAUCAUGGCUCAGGACGAACGCUGGCGGCGUGCUUAACACAUGCAAGUCGAACGAGGUCCAUGCAGUCGCAAGACUGCGGAAGACCUAGUGGCGAACGGGUGCGUAACACGUGAGGAACUUGUCCCCGGUCUCUGGAAUAACAAGUGGAAACACUUGCUAAUACCGGAUGCCGUCGGACCAUCGCAUGGUGGACUGACGAAAGGGUUACCGGAUCGGGAGAGCCUCGCGGCCUAUCAGCUUGUUGGUGAGGUAACGGCUCACCAAGGCAUCGACGGGUAGCUGGUCUGAGAGGAUGAUCAGCCACACUGGGACUGAGACACGGCCCAGACUCCUACGGGAGGCAGCAGUGGGGAAUCUUGCACAAUGGGCGAAAGCCUGAUGCAGCAACGCCGCGUGCGGGAAGAAGGCCCUAGGGUUGUAAACCGCUUUCAGCAGGGAAGAAGAUGACGGUACCUGUAGAAGAAGGUGCGGCCAACUACGUGCCAGCAGCCGCGGUGACACGUAGGCACCAAGCGUUGUCCGGAUUUAUUGGGCGUAAAGAGCUCGUAGGCGGUUCGGUAAGUCGGGUGUGAAAACUCUGGGCUCAACCCAGAGCCGCCACCCGAUACUGCUGUGACUUGAGUUCGGUAGGGGAGCGGGGAAUUCCUGGUGUAGCGGUGAAAUGCGCAGAUAUCAGGAGGAACACCAGUGGCGAAGGCGCCGCUCUGGGCCGAGACUGACGCUGAGGAGCGAAAGCGUGGGUAGCAAACAGGAUUAGAUACCCUUGUAGUCC
rnacentral:rRNA from 1 species